GAUGAACGCUGGCGGCGUGCCUAAUACAUGCAAGUCGAGCGAACGGACGAGGAGCUUGCUCCUCUGACGUUAGCGGCGGACGGGUGAGUAACACGUGGAUAACCUACCUAUAAGACUGGGAUAACUUCGGGAAACCGGAGCUAAUACUGGAUAAUAUAUUGAACCGCAUGGUUCAAUAGUGAAAGACGGUUUUGCUGUCACUUAUAGAUGGAUCCGCGCCGCAUUAGCUAGUUGGUAAGGUAACAGCUUACCAAGGCAACGAUGCGUAGCCGACCUGAGAGGGUGAUCGGCCACACUGGAACUGAGACACGGUCCAGACUCCUACGGGAGGCAGCAGUAGGGAAUCUUCCGCAAUGGGCGAAAGCCUGACGGAGCAACGCCGCGUGAGUGAUGAAGGUCUUCGGAUCGUAAAACUCUGUUAUUAGGGAAGAACAAAUGUGUAAGUAACUAUGCACGUCUUGACGGUACCUAAUCAGAAAGCCACGGCUAACUACGUG
rnacentral:rRNA from 1 species